rnacentral:rRNA from 1 species
GACGAACGCUGGCGGCGUGCUUAACACAUGCAAGUCGAACGGAAAGGCCCCCACUAUUUUUGGUGGGGGUGCUCGAGUGGCGAACGGGUGAGUAACACGUGGGUGAUCUGCCCUGUACUUCGGGAUAAGCUUGGGAAACUGGGUCUAAUACCGGAUAGGACCAUGGUUUAGUGUCUCAUGGUGGAAAAAUUAUUGUUUUGGUGCAGGAUGAGCUCGCGGCCUAUCAGCUUGUUGGUGGGGUAAUGGCCUACCAAGACGUCGACGGGUAGCCGGCCUGAGAGGGUGGACGGCCACAUUGGGACUGAGAUACGGCCCAGACUCCUACGGGAGGCAGCAGUGGGGAAUAUUGCACAAUGGGCGCAAGCCUGAUGCAGCGACGCCGCGUGGGGGAUGACGGCCUUCGGGUUGUAAACUCCUUUCGUUAGGGACGAAGCCACACCUUUUU